CCCCAUCACAAUGGCAUUGACAAAUUCAUUGUUUGCCAAGAGGAGCUGAUGGGCCUUUUUGUCAUCUGUCCGGCCUGUUGUGAGAGGUCAGAUAGUAGCAUCGUGCAGCAGGAAGGAACUUUUCUUAAGAUCAAGCAGGUCUGUGCAUCAUGUGGCUACCACCGUUUCUGGCAAAACCAGCCAAUGCUCCACAGGAACAUGCCGACCUGCAACCUCCUGUUAAGCGGGGCCAUUCAUUUCACUGGAUGUUUGGCCACCCAGACAUUAAGAAUGUUGACUCUGUUUGGCCUGCAGUGCAUCAGUG